rnacentral:rRNA from 1 species
ACUCAAAUGAAUUGACGGGGGCCCGCACAAGCGGUGGAGCAUGUGGUUUAAUUCGACGCAACGCGAAGAACCUUACCUGGGUUCGAACGGCUUACGCAAGCUCCCGGAAACGGGAGUCCUCCCGCAAGGGACGUGAGUCGAGGUGCUGCAUGGCUGUCGUCAGCUCGUGUCGUGAGAUGUUGGGUUAAGUCCCGCAACGAGCGCAACCCUUGUCCUGUGUUGCUAACCGAAAGGUGCACUCUCAGGAGACCGCCAGCGAUAAGUUGGAGGAAGGUGGGGAUGACGUCAAGUCAUCAUGGCCUUUAUGUCCAGGGCUACACACGUGCUACAAUGGGCGGUACAGACCGCUGCAAACCCGCGAGGGGGAGCUAAUCGGAAAAAACCGUUCUCAGUUCGGAUCGCAGGCUGCAACUCGCCUGCGUGAAGCUGGAAUCGCUAGUAAUGGCAUAUCAGAACGAUGCCGUGAAUACGUUCCCGGGCCUUGUACACACCGCCCGU